CUGACUAGAAUUAUGAGUAUGACAACGUCAAGCUACUACAGACCCAACUUCCCGACCAAUUUCUUUUGUCGGCGGUGAUGAGUUGGGCUGGCAACCAGGCUAGAAUAUUGUAGGAUUACGGCUCAGAACAAGAUGGACUAGAAUCAGAGUGCCAUCAUAUAGGCUACGGCCUGAGUAUGCUGAGGAAUCUGUCCCUGUAGGAUGCAAAAAAUGUCUUCAUCUCUGGACCAGUUUAUCAUCGGAGUGAAGUGGAGGAGUUUGAUAAGGGGAUAUCUAAACAAUUGCGCACUGAAGGGAGACCAUUCAACUACAUGCCCAUCCACACCAAAGGAAGCAUCCUCAUGCAGCCCAUCCACCAUAGAGGUUCACCACCAGCAGCAGAGAAAGAAGCGGUGGAUCCUCCGCAGCACCACCAUCCCACAUUACUCAAAGAAAAUGUUUUUGUUGUGAUGAUGACAUAAA